rnacentral:rRNA from 1 species
GACGAACGCUGGCGGCGUGCCUAAUACAUGCAAGUUGAGCGAUGAAGAUUGGUGCUUGCCCCAAUUUGAAGAGCAGCGAACGGGUGAGUAACGCGUGGGGAAUCUGCCUUUGAGCGGGGGACAACAUUUGGAAACGAAUGCUAAUACCGCAUAACAACUUUAAACAUAAGUUUUAAGUUUGAAAGAUGCAAUUGCAUUACUCAAAGAUGAUCCCGCGUUGUAUUAGCUAGUUGGUGAGGUAAAGGCUCACCAAGGCGAUGAUACAUAGCCGACCUGAGAGGGUGAUCGGCCACAUUGGGACUGAGACACGGCCCAAACUCCUACGGGAGGCAGCAGUAGGGAAUCUUCGGCAAUGGACGAAAGUCUGACCGAGCAACGCCGCGUGAGUGAAGAAGGUUUUCGGAUCGUAAAACUCUGUUGGUAGAGAAGAACGUUGGUGAGAGUGGAAAGCUCAUCAAGUGACGGUAACUACCCAGAAAGGGACGGCUAACUACGUG